AGCACGAGGACCUGAAGAAGCAGCACGAUGAGCUGCAGGAGCAGCAUCAGAUUCAGGGAGAGGACCACGGCAAGGCCUUGGACGAGCACAAGGACCGCUUCGACAAACUACAGCAGACCAAAGAGCUGGAAGCCUCCAAACUCAAAGAGAAUGUGUAUAACCUGCGAGAGGAGAAUAAGCAGCUGAGGAGCUCACCAGGACAUCCGAGUCCAGUUGCAGGAUGCACGGAUAGUACAUAAGGACUUGAAGGCUGCCCAUGAUCAGCUUGCACUGACACUAGAGGACCACAAGAUGGCGCUGGUUGCAGCUCAGGU